GAUGAAGAACGCAGCGAAAUGCGAUAAGUAAUGUGAAUUGCAGAAUUCAGUGAAUCAUCGAAUCUUUGAACGCACAUUGCGCCCCUUGGUAUUCCGAGGGGCAUGCCUGUUCGAGCGUCAUUAUCAACCGUCAAGCCCGGCUUGUGUUGGGGACCUGCGGCUGCCGCAGGCCCUGAAAAGCAGUGGCGGGCUCGCUGUCACACCGAGCGUAGUAGCAUACAUCUCGCUCUGGGCGUGCUGCGGGUUCCGGCCGUUAAACCACCUUCAUAACCCAAGGUUGACCUCGGAUCAGGUAGGAAGACCCGCUGAACUUAAGCAUAUCAAUAAGCGGAGGA
rnacentral:misc_RNA from 1 species